CCUACGGGAGUCAGCAGUGGGGAAUAUUGCGCAAUGGGCGAAAGCCUGACGCAGCGACGCCGCGUGAGGGAUGAAGGUCUUCGGAUCGUAAACCUCUGUCAGCAGGGAAGAACGGUCACUGUGCUAAUCAGCAGUGAAUUGACGGUACCAGCAAAGGAAGCACCGGCUAACUACGUGCCAGCAGCCGCGGUAAUACGGAGGGUGCGAGCGUUAAUCGGAAUUACUGGGCGUAAAGCGCCAGUAGGCGGAAUGUCAAGUCAAGGGUGAAAUCCCCGCGCUCAACGUGGGAACUGCCUUUGAAACUGGCAAACUUGAGUGUGUGAGAGGAUAGUGGAAUUCCAGGUGUAGGAGUGAAAUCCGUAGAUAUCUGGAGGAACAUCAGUGGCGAAGGCGACUAUCUGGCACAUAACUGACGCUGAGGAGCGAAAGCGUGGGUAGCAAACAGGAUUAGAUACCCUAGUAGUC
rnacentral:rRNA from 1 species